AUGAGAAGCCCAACGGUCCAAGAGGGAUCACGUGAAUGCAAUGUUUGGCAGGGCCCACAGAGCCCAGGCUGUAACUUCUGAAGCCGGCCUUCACAGGAACUUUUCAUAGAAGUCAGUUAAAGCAGAUUCUAGAGAUGUGGUAGAAACCAGGGAAAAAUGUGCAUUGUUUUCUUCUAAAUAAGGAGAUCAGUGGAUAAACUGUGCUUCUCAGAGUCCUGCCCUCAAAUGUCUCAAAAGGCAAAAUGAUUAAGAGAGAAAUAAGUGUGUGUCAACAGACAUGGGCAUUAUUAUGCAAGAACCUUCUGAAGAAAUGGAGAAUGAAAAGAGAGUCCUUGAUGGAAUGGUUGACCCCAUUGCUCCUCCUACUUUGUUGGUAUUUAUAUCCUACUAAUCAUAAAGUUAAUGAUUUUUCUUCACUGCCUGCUGUGGACCUGGGACCGGUAGACUCAUUUAAAGAUUCUACAUUUUCUAUUAUAUACACACCUGGCACCAGUACAACCCAACAGAUAAUGAGUAAAGCAGCCUUAGCCUCCUUCAUGAAAGGUGAGUUUUCUAGCAACCAAGAGGAA